AGCUAUAUAGUUUAAAAAAAAACAUUAAUUUUGUAAAUUAAAGAUAAAUUAAUUUUUAUAGCUU
rnacentral:tRNA from 1 species